UACAGAAAGAACCAACUUAAAGGGAAAAAAAACAACCCAUCAUGUAGAUUAGGAUUUAUUGAUUACUGAGACACUAAUUCCAGCCCAGCUCUUUGAGAUCUCUCCAAGGGGAAAGGAAGAGAUGAUAUUUACAGAAACUGCUUCUAAUGAGAAAACCUUAAGGCAAGGAAGAAACACCCACUGCUAGGCAAGGAUGGCCAAAGCUGGAUUACAUCACAAUUGCAUGCAGAAGACACUCACUCCUGCAAAGCUAAUCCCUGCUAAACUCCUGUGUAAUAGCUACGGGCUGCCAAGGGCACUGAAGCCCCAACAUCAGGGGUGAGCAAGGAACCCCGACCACGCGACCGUCACACAUUCUCCAACAGCCCUUGGCUCUGCAGUACUGGGGUUGCCUCCAUCAGAGGUGAGGUA